CCUACGGGGGGCAGCAGUGGGGGAUAUUGCACAAUGGAGGAAACUCUGAUGCAGCAACGCCGCGUGAGGGAAGAAGGUCUUCGGAUUGUAAACCUCUGUCCUCAGGGACGAUAAUGACGGUACCUGAGGAGGAAGCUCCGGCUAACUACGUGCCAGCAGCCGCGGUAAUACGUGGGGAGCAAGCGUUGUCCGGAUUUACUGGGAGUAAAGGGUGCGUAGGCGGCCCUGCAAGUCAGGUGUGAAAACUAUGGGCUUAACUCAUAGAUUGCACUUGAAACUGUGGGGCUUGAGUGAAGUAGAGGCAGGGGGAAUUUGCGGUGGAGCGGUGAAAUGCGUAGAUAUCGGGUAGAACAACAGUGGCUAAGGCGGCGUGCUAUGCUUUAACUGACGCUGAGGCAGGAAAGCGUAGGUAGAAAACAGGAUUAGGUACCCUAGUAGUC
rnacentral:rRNA from 1 species